AUAGCAUUCCAAAGCCAGAAAAAAGUAAUUGCUGUUUUUGUUUUUUUGUUUUUCUUAAGUUUCUCUUCUCUCUCUCUCUCUCUCUCUCUCUCUCUCUCUCUCUGCUUCUGGUAUGGUCACAUUCGAUGUAAGGGUUUUCCCAAAGAACUGAUAAUAAAAGUUUUAUUAUGCUCUCACUAUACCAUGGUUUAUUUCCACCACUUUAUUUAUGUCUUUAUUCUGUGCCACCUUUUGCUGUCCCCUUGCUAAUACUUACGUUUCCAUGGCAACCAGGCCAUUUGUAUGGACGAUGAAUCAUGGCAAAGUCACAACAAAUACGAUAAAAAGUCUCUUCGCUGUACUGGUGAUGAGGUGAGGCCAGAGCCUACAAAACAGAAAAAAAUUCUCACAUAUGUUUCUGGUACAAAAGGACAUGCCAGAAAAGAAUUGAAGUCGUCUCAUAAAUAUUGAAAGAUUCUGUAUCAUUGACCGGAGGGGCGAAUACAGGAAGUCUGUAACACCAUGUUACAAGAAUUAAAGCAGGAAAGUGCCGUGUUUGUUUCACAGGGAGAAGGAUGAGUAUCCCCAGCACCAGGCUGGGAGGAGUGUCACAAAGCCCUGGAAGGAUUGCAGAGCUGUGUCACAGAGGGAACCCUCUUGUCAGCUCUUCUGGAAUCUUACUGACCUUUGCCCCACAGCCUGGGCUGUCCCUUUUUCUGCCUCAGAGGCUAAGGCUCUUCCCAGAACCCCGUCAUCCCCCUGUGAUGGCAGCAUGACUGAGCAGCAGACCCGGUUCCUUCCCCCUGCUUCCUGCUUCUGCACACACAGCCAGUGUAGGCUCUGCCUGUUCUCAGUCCACCUGAAUUGCAGCCAAGCGUAGAAGUUAGAUGACAUUCCCAGAAUAGUCUUUGCCUCUUUUGCCAUCACCGUGUACUACUAGGGAGGCCAACAUGGAAAAGAGUUGAAGAGAAUGAAAAAACCUAACAAGUUUUGUCCCUGCCACCAACCACUGAAAAAAGAUCGGAGGACAAAGGCAGCUAAUGAAAAGACAAGAAUUGACAAAAACCACAGGGUCAUUUCCUGCAAACCUGAAGGGUUGCGAACAGAACCCUCCAAACGUGAACAGGAGCAGGACAGAGCAGAUGCGGAUCGUGAACACAACCGUGGGGCCCACACCAUUUAGCAGUGUUCACAGCAUGUCAGUGAUUUAUUUAGUCCUUUCCUUCCUCUCCUGUGAGUAGAAGAAAUGGGCGCACUUCAGUUCAGAGCCAGGACCUUGCAGGAGUCUCUACUACCGGAGAGAGAAUUCAUCAUACAAAUUUUUAAAUUACGGCAUUAUAAUUCAUACUAAUUCGCCUUUGUGAAUGGUUGGCCACAUUAAUGAAGCAGGAUAAUCAAGCUCAUCUUUUUUUCCUCUGAGUAAUAUUGGUUGCUUUUCUUCUUCUGGCUCGUCAUCUUUAAGUCUACCGUUUAUCUUUUUCAUGUCUGGUUAUAAUUUGCAAGACUUUAAUUUGUGUGAGUAAUCAGUACGUACGACUCCAAAUGAAAUUUUACUGUUUCAAAGAACACUUCAGUGUAUCAAAGGACUUUCAGAGUUAAUUAUAAAAUCCUAGAUUAUGUAAUAUAAUCCUACAUUUAUUAGAUACAUUGUAAACUUUUAUAAUUAUAAAACCAAUAUUUAACAUAAUUCUAAUCCUAAAUUAAAGGUCCUAAUAAUUUC